GAUGAACGCUGGCGGCGUGCCUAAAACAUGCAAGUCGUGCGGAAACACUUCGGGUGUCGAGCGGCGGACGGGUGAGUAACGCGUGAGAAUCUGCCCCAAACUGAGGGAUAAGCCAGAGAAAUCUGGUCUAAUACCGCAUACGGUCUUCGGAUUAAAGCUUCGGCGGUCUGGGAGGAGCUCGCGUCAGAUUAGCUAGUUGGUGAGGUAAUGGCUUACCAAGGCGACGAUCUGUAGCUGGUUUGAGAGGAUGAUCAGCCACACUGGAACUGAGACACGGUCCAGACUCCUACGGGAGGCAGCAGUUAGGAAUCUUCCACAAUGGGCGCAAGCCUGAUGGAGCAACGCCGCGUGCAGGAUGAAGGCCUUCGGGUUGUAAACUGCUUUUAUAAGUGAGGAAUAUGACGGUAACUUAUGAAUAAGGAUCGGCUAACUACGUGCCAGCCGCCGCCGUAACAC
rnacentral:rRNA from 1 species